GACGAACGCUGGCGGCGUGCUUAACACAUGCAAGUCGAACGGAAGGGCCCUGCUUUUGUGGGGUGCUCGAGUGGCGCACGGGUGAGUAACACGUGAGUAACCUGCCCUUGACUUUGGGAUAACUUCAGGAAACUGGGGCUAAUACCGGAUAGGAGCUCCUGCUGCAUGGUGGGGGUUGGAACGUUUCGGCGGUUGGGGAUGGACUCGCGGCUUAUCAGCUUGUUGGUGGGGUAGUGGCUUACCAAGGCUUUGGCGGGUAGCCGGCCUGAGAGGGUGACCGGCCACAUUGGGACUGAGAUACGGCGCAGACUCCUACGGGAGGCAGCAGUGGGGAAUAUGGCACAAUGGGCGGAAGCCUGAGACAGCAACGCCGCGUGCGGGAUGAAGGCCUUCGGGGUGUAAACCGCUUUCGCCUGUGACGAAGCGUGAGUGACGGUAAUGGGUAAAGAAGCACCGGCUAACUACGUG
rnacentral:rRNA from 1 species